ensembl:lncRNA
CCACUUUAUUCCAAUUACAAAAGGAAAACCGGUAUUUAAAUCCUUUUCCCACUUUACAGGCUCUGGGAAGGCCAGACAGGAACAGCAGGGGCAACUUGUGUUGAAUUCGCAGCAACUUUUCCCCCAAGAUGUUCUUCACAGCAGCACUAAAUUAGCACUAAAUUAGCUUUCCCUUAAUCUAGCAACAAGUAAAGAAGCUUUCUGCAAAAAGAAAUAUAUAUGAAUAAAUAAAUCAAUCAAAACAUCAGAGCUCUGCUUUGAGUUCAGGGCUGACUUCUCCAUCUUGCCCAAAUGACUUAGGAGCACAAGCCCUCCUAGUAACAGAUUUGCAUAGACAUUUACAUGCUGUGAUAUCCAGGACCGAUGGAGUGUCCCCAUCUUGCUGUGGCCCUCCCUGCCACCUUCACCACAACAGCAGAUGCCUGCAGGUGCUCCAGCUGCAAGGUUUCCGUGGCGCUGCAGCCGCGACCUUGGGUCUUUAUUGGCUCUCCGAAUGGACCCUUUAUAGACUCCAGAUGGAAAGUAUAAAAUUAAUAACCCCUGGCUGGCAAACACCCAUAUGUUUUCCACCUUCUCCUGAGAUACAAUUUGUUUAUGGUGACAUUUAUUUAAUGCAAAUUAACAUAUAAAUGAAGAUGCAUGGCUCUUCCCAGAGACCUGAGGAAACUGGUUUGUGUGGUGCUAGAGGUGCACGGCCACAUCAACCACCCACCAGAAAGGCUCCUUUGGAAUUACCUGGAGCCUUUUUGAUUCUCUCCAGCCAGGAGGAAUUCCACCAGCCUCCCUCCAGGCCCAUUUUCUUUAACAAUAUAUACCAGGCUGACCCUGGAGGUGCUAAUUGCUCUUUAUCUAAGACAACUGUUUCUCCCACCCCACCAGUGCUUUUGGUGGUCGAAGGAAUACAAUGCAUUAUCAGGAAACGAGAUACAUGUGUACAAAGGGUAUUGACUGGCGGGAGGUUAAAGAUACAGCACAAAGAGAGGCAGCCUUACAGGGGUACCCUGUUAACUAGUGAUGGAUGAGCCACUGGAAGAAGAAAGCUCUCCAAGGUUGGGCUGAUAAGACCCCAGCCACUUGGUGCCUCCCCAAGGUGCCACGACCAGGACCAACCUCUACACCUAUCCCUGGCUCCGGCCUCCUUCUCCUCCUUUUCUUCCUCCUCCUCCCAGCAGACAACCCAGGACAGGCCAAAUUUGGCACGGAAAACCCUUCCACAAAGCCACCCCUGCGUCCCGUUUGUCCGCCAACGACCUUAGUUAAACCGGCGCAAGUUUCUUAAUUCCACGCCAGCCUAAGCCUUUAAAAACUGUUGACUUUCCAGAAAAGCAGGAAGUGGGUAAACACAGCGAUUGGCUGCUCUUCCUGCUGACCACAUGUCACCAGAAUGCAGGGGAAAAAAAAAAUUCUAUUAGGCUUUUAUUUAACAUGAAUUUGAAUGUAUUCCAGGUCACUGAUCACAUAAGCGAUCACGAUACGGGUAAUAAAGAAGUUCCUACCAUACCUUUAUUUGCUUUCUCCCUGUAAUAAAUCUUUAUCACACACUGGGCUGAUUGCAACAGUAUCACUUCCUUUUUUUUUUUUAUUUUUUUUUUUCCCUCCUGUUUUAUAGGGCAGCAAAAAGCCAACUGGGCCCAUCUGCAAGCACACCCAAUGGCGCUGGGAUGGGAUGGCAAACAAAAGGCAGCCAGGGCAGCCACACUGCUGCCUUGAAGAACCAAGGGUUGACUUCCCUGGGUGCAGACCCCAACCUUCACAUGCUGCAAAACCCCAUGCAUGAUCCUUUGUGACUGCAGGAAAAGGGGGAAUCGUAGCGUGGCACUGAGGGACGCGGUUAGUUGGAUAGUGGGUGCAGUGUGGACGGGUUGAUGGUUGGACUUGGGGAUCCUUGUGGUCUUUUCCAACCUGCGUGAUUCCAUGACUGUGUCAUAGUAGGAAAUAUCAACCUGUGUGCUUUCUUAGUAAGUGAUCAUUAAGACGGUUUAAUAAACGAUCCAAGUGACAGCCCUAUGCUAGAACAGCCUCGAAUCAAACCAUUCUGCACAGGGAAGAAUUUUUGCUCCCUGUAAACCAAAAGUAAUGGGUCAAAGGGAAAUGAAUCCUGAGCAGUUCCCUGCACUUCUGAGCAUUUGGUGUUCUGGACCCCAUUCUCCCUCGUACCCUCAUGCUUAAUCCUCCUCAUUUGAAUGAUUUGCAUCCAAAUCUCUCCAUUUUUGUCCUUUCAUUCUCGAGCACACGAUGUUAGUUCCCGCUAAUACAAGGGCAUCAAUCGCCUUCAUCUUCUCCUAUUUAAUGAUAUUUAUUCAUCAUCGCAUGGGAGAGAAAUUGGCUGCAGCUCAAUUUGGCAAAAUAAAUUGGGACCAGUUCAAGCGUAAUCUCGCUAAACACACAGAUUUUAAUCCCCCCCCCCAAGUGAAGCACACUGCAUCUGCAAUGGAUGUCCUUGGUUCAAGAUCCAGAUGCUGAUUUCAAACUCCAGAAUCUCCCACUGCUUGCAGAGCUCACUUUGUGAGGACCAGGGACUACGUAAAUUCAGAACAGCUCCAGCACAGCUUUGCUCCUGUUGUCCUUAAUUGCUUGAAUACUGAGCAGGUUGAUAUUGUGAUUAUUUGUAGACAUUUAUACCAUCCCAGGCCUUCUUCUUUAUAACUUUAUUUCAUUUUCUGCUGUUUACUCACAACUACCUUUAUCACCGCACGCUGAUAGUCUGUUCUUUAUUGCCUCGGUGUGAUUGCAAGGAGUUUGAGCACAACCCAAUAACACACAUAUAUAAAUAUUUGAACAGGAAAAGAAAGUCUGUCUCAUUCAGGCUAUGGAAGGAGGGAAAAAUGAAAACAAAUAAUACCGCUAGAGGGACCUUCACACUGAACCACGGUGGAGGAGAGGUCACACACAGCCUCCACGAGUGGCACCGAUGGGACCCGUGGUGUCGGCAUGGAGCUUGCAAGCAGCAGCACCGCAUGCAUGCAGGGCUCGUUGUUUGCCGAGGAUCACCCGAAUAAUUCCACUUGAGCACAACAAACGUGUUUUGUUUUUGCAGUUAAAGAGCUGAGUCCUUUUAAUUAGUUGACUCGGGCCUUUCUGCAUGCGGUCCCCACGCACUGUGGCUGGUUCAAAGAGGAGCCUCUCUGUGUGUUUUCGCUUUUCUUCUCUUUUCUUUCUCCCCUUUAACACUGCGUGUGAAUAGUUGAAGACGGGAGCGAAAGACAUUGGACUUAGAAAGUAAAAUCUCCAGGAAGCAAAAAUGGAGGCAAACACAGGAGCUAAUUUAGGCAGGCAUAGCUGGUGUUGUUUGUGGUUGUCCCUGACAGCGCUGCUGACUCUAAAGCACCUGUGUUUGCUCACUAGCUUUCCCCAAUCUGCUAGAAAAUGGCCCUAGCAUGUCACAUGGCAGCGAGAUAGUCCGAGCGCCAUGGGAAUAAAAAAGCCUGAGCUUUUAACGGAGUUAAUCAUUAAUGCGCCUUUUCUUUGUCCCAUUCAGGAGUGCUGACAAGCGCUUUGAUAUUUCAUAUUUGCCAUCAGGUCAGCGGCAGUCAUACCCAGGUACUAAUGAGCGCCCUGGCUCACGCCUCCCUGUUUCAUGGCCCGCCUGAAGAUUUCGUCCCACUUGCCCUCAACCACAGCUACACGCAUAUAUAUCCCUGCCUAUAUGUGUGUGCGUGUCCCUGCUUCCACGUCUGAAUGCAUCCCUGCAUAUAUGCACAUAGGCAUCCCUGUGCGCACACCCGAGCAACACCCAUGGGUGCAGCGCAUGCUCAGGAGAUCCCAGUUCAGGCGCUUUUAUCCCCUCCUGUAGACAAAACCCAGGGCUCCCAGCUCCAGAUCCAAGCCCUGUGUUCCAUAUUGGGCAUCUCAAUGCAAUGCUUUGUAUCCACGAGCAGCUGUCAAUGCGUGCGCGCACUUCGGGGUUGAGCAAAUAAUCCCCAGUGAAUAAUGUAUGUGCGGGGAGGAAUGCAGGCUGCACUACUCGCCCCCAGUCCUGGCUGCCAGCAGCGUGUUUUCUGCAUCGUGCUUCUUCUCCCAGUUUGUUUGCCCUGAUGCACCCAGGUUUCCCUGUUCACUGCAGGGGAAUUAGACUAGGUGACCUUUGAAGGUUUCUUCCAACUCCAACAAUUCUAUGAUUCUUUGGUUCUAUGGUUCUGAUUCCAUGAUUCUAUGGGUCUGUGAGCCUAUGGUUCUACGAUUCCAUGAUUCUAUGAUUCUACGGUUCUAUGAUUCUAUGAUUCUAGGGGUCUAUGAAUCCAUGAUUCUAGGGGUCUAUGAUUCUGUGGAUCUAUGAUUCCAUGAUUCCAGGGGUCUAUGUUACUAUGAUCCUAUGAUGCCACGAUUCUAUGAUUCUAUGUGUCCAUGGUUCUAUGACUCUAGAUGCACUGCUUGGGAACCAGUUGUAUGAAGGCAUGAUUACAAAGGAGACUGAGAAUGCUCGUCCUCCCUAAGAGCAGCAAGGCACUGCUAUUCUGUUGUCUGGCUUGGCCAAUAAAUGCAGUUGUUUGUGCCAGCACUGAGUAGAAAAACCUAUCCCUCAGCGUAAAGGCCAGGCAGGUCAGCAGGCCUCCAUAAAGCUGCUGUGCAAAGAUGAUUUGUGCUGGCUUCAACGAGAAUCACAGUCAAACUUCAAGGUGCUUGAACCUUUCCCUUGACUCGGGCAGAGACUGACAGCACAUUUCACUCCUCCUCGCCGGGGUUGGAUGCUGACAGAAUUGCAUCAGUGAGCUCACCGAGGGGACCUCCUGUCUGUGUUCAUGUAGUGUGGGGAGGAAAACAUGGCUGGAGCUGCCCAUGCUGCCAGCACAGCAGGGAGGUGCAGCCAGGCAUCGCAGAAGGUUGCACAAACCUGGGCUUCCUUCAGCAUCCCUCUGGGUUGGAAGUGUGUGCAGCGUGAAAUUAAUGAGCUAUUCAUAGAACCAUCAUAGAGUCAUAGAAUCAUGAAGGUGGAAAAGAUAACCGAGUCCAACCACAGCUCACCCCCACCGUGCCCACUGACCACGUCCUGCAGUGCCACAUCCCCACAGCUUUGGGAUGCCUCCAGGGAUGGUGACCCCACCACUCCCUGGGCAGCUGUGCCACUGCCUCACCGCUCUUUCAGGAAAUAAACUGUUCCUAUCAGUCAACCCGAAUUCAGCCCUAAGCUUUUCAGUCUCCUUUUGCUGAGAUAUGGUGACUGAGCCACUUGGCUCCAUACUCCUCUUAGAUUAAAGAGGGAACUGCCAAAAAUGUCACAGAUUUCAGAGGCCGGCUAGUGGUGACUCACCCAGAUAACGCUCUCAAGGACGUAUAGGGAGCCCGGAACCGUAGUCCCAUGCGACAGAGCCACAUCUGGAGAAAUGGCCAAGGUCACCCCACCACUGGCUCGGGCCCCCACAGUGCCAGGUGAGGAAAAUCCUGCUCCGUAAAACUCACACUGGACAGAGAGGCAGAAGGGGAAGCGGGAGAAGGUUCGACCCCGGUUUGCACACAGAGAUAGGCCAGGAUUAGUCCCUUUAGUCUCUUUUAGCUCAUGCUGGCCACAAAGCUCUAAUCUAAGAGGAGAACUCCUGAGGCUGUGAUUGGACCUGGAAGUCAAUUUGCUGCGAGCAUCCUAUGCAGAGUUGAAGCCAGCCAAAAAGGAAGCCUUCCUGGAAAAAUAACAAAGGUACUUUCAGCCACAGAAAUCCCCAUCUCGAAUCCAAACAGGGAAGCCUCUGUCUGCUGCCAGUGUAGGCAGGGUUUCCGACUGCCUGUUAUUGGACAUAGCAGAAGAGUUAGCUUAGGCAGAGGAAGGGGAAGGGGCCGCUUCUCCCUUGCUGGGGUGGAAAUCCUCUUCUUUCUGGGUGCCCUCUGCGAGCUCAAGUCCUGCACGUCCCAGUGCCCGUGGUCUGCACAGAGGCAGCCGGCUGCCAAGCAGAGCCAGGACACGCCAUGCAGACACCGCCCGGAAUGUGUGGCAUGGAAAAGCCUUGUCAGAGCCUUGGCUCGGGGAAUCAGCAGGCUGCCUGCCUGCACUGCCCUGCUGCAGCCUCACGGUGCCUGGAUGCAUGCACUGUGCUUUGCAGUGGCUUUUCCAGGGCAUGGAGCAGGGAAAUUGGCGAGGACAAGGUGUGAGGAGAAGCAGUCCCGCGUCCCACACCACCCUGUGCCGACCCCCAUGUCCCUCCUUACCCCUAGAAUGCUCACGGUGCAUAAAGAUGGGAGAGAUUUGAUUCCCAGGACUGCCCUAUGUUCUUCUGUGGGUGCUCGGCCGUGUCCCUCACCCCACAGUGCAGGCUGGCUCCUGCUGCACAAACACAGCCGAGCAAGAUAAGCGCUGUGUGCACAGCACUCAGCCAGGAAUUCAGGGCCUGUGCUGGCCCCAGCUGCCAUCCUGAUGGCAAACCACACCAGGUUCCCCCCCUGCACCCCUCUGUGCCAUGGGGGCAGCUUCUCAACCUGCUUUGCUUGGACACCGUGGGGAUGCUGCAGCAGGGAUGCUGCCAGGGCACAUGCAGACGCUGCACAUAGAUGUGCAGGGAUGCUGCAGGAGGGAUGCUUCAUCUGGGAUGCAAAAGGAUGUUGCAGCAGGGAUUUGCAGAGGUGCUGCAGCAGGGACGCACAGAGAUGUGCAGAGUUGCACAUGGAUUCUGUGGUAGAGGUGUGCAGGGAUGCACAGGGAUUCACAGGGAUGCUGCAGUAGGGAUGUGCAGGGAUGCAAAGGGAUGCACUGCUGCAGGGGAGUGCACGAAUUUGUGGGGAUGCUGCAACAGGGUUGCACUGGGAUGCUGCAGCACGGAUGCACAGAGAUGCACAGGGAUUCACAGGGACACUGUAGUAGGGAUGUGCAGGGAUGCACAGGGAUUCUCAGGGAUGCUGUAAUAGGGAUGUGUAGAGACGCACUGCAGCAGGGAUGCUGCAGCAGAAGGGCACAGGGAUGCUACACCAAGUCACUGUCCUUGGUGAUGCGAGGCAUGCUGGAUAUGGAAAGUAUGUCCUCCCAAAAAGAGCGUGAGGCCUGUGGCAAGAGAUCUGCCAGGAUGUGUUUGCACUGUGACAUGGGUGCAUGUAGCAAGGAUGAGUCAUGGUGGCAGUGGAGCUUGGCAAACACGGAGCCCAGCUUGCCCAGCAGGGGCAGAAAUACCUCCUCUCCACCCCAGCAGAGGACUCGUGGUAAUAAAAGCAGGUUUUAAAAUUAAUAUAGUGAUACCUCGGAGAUUAAUCUUGCUGAUAAGCAGACAGCAGCAGGACUGAAUAGGCCCGUGGUUCAAACAAAGGUUUCUGUUGAGUAGGAACAGGUAAAAGACGGAUGGUUUGUUAAACAUUGCCAGCAUACUUUGCUAGUGCCAUUCACCGGUCACAGCUAAUGGUAACAGGGGCAUUGUGCAGCAGAUGCAUUUGCUAAUUUCGGCCAACUUAAACGCUAUUCCUUAUCUUUGUUGGUCUUGCUGAGAUUAAGGCGGUUUCAGUAUGCUGAAUGCACUACACUCCUGCAUGAAAAACAUUCCUGACAGUCUCAAGGAGUAAAAAAACACUGGCUGUCAGCGAGCAGAGCAGGGCCGGGAGGUCUGCUGACACAGGGCUGGGUCCAAGGCCCACUCCAGCUCUGCGUUGGGCAAUGCAGACUUCGUCCCAGCUUUGUGCUAAAGGCAGAUAAGCUGCCGCACAGUCUGGGCUCAGCACCCAGCAGUAUGUUGGCAUGUGAUGGGUGUUGGACACAGUGUGUGCCAUGCUGCUGCAGAGCCCAUUUGCUGGCUGGGCAGCCUGGUGUCACCGGGUGUCUGCCUCCACACAGCCCUCCCUUCCUAACCCUUGAACUCCUCGCCCGUUUCAAUCAGCUUUGCCAAGACAAUAGGCGUCUCGGAGCUCAUUAAGUGCUUAGGGGGGGUUUGUGGACAUAGGCAUCUGUGCAAAGGGCAGGGGCUGGUGGGGGGGGGGGGCUGCGGGUAGGAUCACCCCACCUGGGGAUCCUCCACAGAACAAAACCCGGGCAAGAAGCCACUUCCUUCCCCCAAAUCCUAGCUCCAGCCCAAUGGACAGCUGCAGGAUCCUCCCUUGCCCAUGCCCAUUGCAUCCUCUCUCCCUUCCCCAUCCCACUCCAUCCUCCUUGGGUAGCCAGGAUAGCUAAGGGGAAUACCUAAUAGCAUUAUAACCCAUUUUAUUAUUCUCAUUGGUAUUUUAACAGCGCUGAGUCACACGGGGGGAUUAGGACAGCUCCGAGAAGAUGCAAUACCCUGCAGGGACCGGCAGGGCUCUGCAGCUCCGAGUGGGGCCGGGAGCCAGAGAAACUCUGGGUUAACGUGGGGCCCUGACCCUACCCCCCACCUUAACCCUCAACUUCACAUGAGCUCAGCACGGGCAUCCUGCACGCAUGGCAUGGAGGCAGCCAGCUGUCUGAAAACCUCAAGAGAAGGUUUCUUUCUUCCCCAGAGUGGAUGUUGGUGAUAUGAUUAUUAUUACUAUUAUUACUAUUAGGUAUUGAACCCUCUGCCCAGAAAAGCCAGGCACUACUGCAGCCUGAACCCAACGCAGCGCCGUGCUGGCACCAUAUCCCUGCCAGUGGCGUUAUGUUCCCUUUGACAAAAAUGAACCAGGAGAAUUCCCUUGCCAAAUAUUGUUCUGGUAACCGUAACUCUGAGUCUUGCCAGGUUACAGAGCUCCUGUUAUGGAGCUCCUCCAGGCUGCAGCCAGUGCUAUUGUUAUUGUGAAGCACCUCUGCGCUGUUCAGGCUUUGAAGUAGGUGAGGCGGUCUCCGCUCUUUCCUCUUUUUUUUUUUUUUUCUUUUUUCCCUUUUUCCCCCAAGCCUCAGCUCUAUGAUUUAGGCUGGAAGCAGAUUGUUCAAGAGCGCCAGGGGAAAUCUGGCAGGCGCUGACCGACCCCGCAAGAAUUUAUUACCAACCCUUUUAGCUGCCGCCUCUGCCUUUGUUACCCAGCCCUUGGCAGGGGGGGUCCAUCCAUCUGCAGCGUCCAACACUGCAUUCACUGCUCACCAGGUGAGCUCCCGGGACAACCAUCCCUCACCAUCCCACUCCAGGACAUCCUCUGGGACUGUUAUCCAAAUGAACCGGCGAGGAUUUAAAAUGCCACCUGAGUUAAAAGGACCUGAUUAAAACUGUACCCUCAUCACACUUCUUAAACAGCCGGUUGCAUUGCCGUAUUUACAUUAGUGUCAACUUUAAUUUAAAUCCCGCAUAACGAUAUUUGCUCCCCUAAAUUCAUUCGCCGGGAGCGCGGCACAAAUUACUCGGAGCUGACUGCACUUUCCCUUUGUCUGCGUCGCAGCGUUUUGGAAAUGAAGGCUGAGCACCUCGUUAGGGUCUCAUUAAGCAGCCCAAUGCCGGGCGCUGGGCUGGAGAUUGGGGCUGGAUUGGGGCGUUGCGGUGUCGGCCAGGUGCUGGCAUGGCAGGGACACGUGGGGUCAGCUCUGCAGACAAUGGGAGCCCUCCUGCUCUCCUGACCACCCAGUAGGGGAGAAGGGGGAAAAGAGACAAAAAAAAAAGCCCACAAUGAAAUACCCGGAGGUUUCUCAGGUUUUUGUGACAGCAGUGUUUAAACUCGGUGCUUCCUGCAGGUGUGCUCUUUGACGACGAGUGCUCCGUGUGAUCUCAGCCAGGCAGGCGUUUUCUUUAGUCCUCGGCGCUUUGCCUUUUCACCUCGUCAAACCCUUUCAAGCUAAACAAACCUUGUUCCAGCCUUGCUCACCGAAUCCCAGCCUGGGGCGGCACGAAGCGGUGUAGCAUCACGGUUGGAGCUGGCGUUUGGGUCGGAGCAGCAUAGCACCACCUGGGCAAUGGGCAACGGAGGCAGGAAGGGGGCAAGGGGAGGGCAGGGGUCAGCAGCCUGGCUGUGGGGAGGUGGCACUGAAUGCGGGGGUUGCUGGAUGUGCCGCUGCCCGGUGUCACCUUGUCCUCGAGCUCCGCAGGGACGCGGCUCCGCGCGGCACCAGAUUUGCGUGGCUAAGUCGACGGCCGUGCAGCUGUGCUCUUAUCUGGUCAGAGGAAGAGGAUGAACAACAAAAGGGCCUAAGAAGCCCGGUUGAUGCAUGGGAAAGCCAUUGGUUGAGCAUUGUGGCUGCCCUUCUGCUGAGCAAAUAGUUCAAACUGUUCAUUCCCAUCUUCUAUUCUCUCUCCGGUACAUUGUUUGUGUCCUUGCAUUUCAUUCUGCAAGGAAGAUUGCUCUCUGGGCCUAUAAGCAAACAGUCCAGAAAAGAGCCAACUAUCCUCUCCUUUUCCCUGGAGAACUAGCAUUUUUAUUUCAGCUCCAAGCUGUCAAAGAGCUGGAGAGUUUAUGUCAGUAUCCUGAAUUAAUUGCUUUAAGCUGGAGCAGCCUAGAUGAGCCACCAAAUGUCCAGAAGAUGUUUAUUAAUAACGUUUCCUGCCGGUUUUGUUCCGAGCUGCGCUCUCCCGUCCAGUGCCCUCCAUUCACUGCCUUGGGGUGGCGAAGCCAAAGCUGCUUACGGGGAAUUAGAGCCCGCUGCCAGGCUUUGUCACCAUCCCCGUGCCCAGCGCCGGGAGCUCUGGUUGGGGUGGUUUGAUGCUGGGAGCAGGAGGAGGAGGGAGACGGAUUGCUGCUGGUGGGGCCCUUGUUUAAACACAAAUAUCUUCGGUAAUUAGCAAAAGUGGCGAGGAAAUUACCGAUGGAAAGAGAGAAACCACACGGAAGGUAAAUGGUUCUGUGUUUAAACAUGAUAUAUUUUAAAGUGUUCCCCAGCGUGAAAGUCGCUGUUUAAGGGAAUGAAGUAAUAAACCAAUUUAUAUACCAAUAGAAAGUGGAGAUCCUGAGUGCCUUUGUGUAAAUUUUCCACUUGACUUUUCAUUAUCUACCUGAACAAAAUCAAUCUAUAUGUAUGGGAUCAACGCGCAAUAUGAGAGAUAAAAGACGAAAUAAAUGCGCUUUGCAUAUCCCGCGGAUAAAAGCCACGGGGCUCCAGCCUCCCUGCCAGGCAGAUGCAUUUUAUAAAAUAAAUCAUUUUGCCGAGGAAAAAGAGAGCAGAGAGGAGCAUUACUUCUUAAGUGUUUACUCCCUAGCUUGAAAUAUCGAUCCUGUCAAACGAACGGUGGUUAAUAAGUAACUCGGGGGAAAUGUGCUGCUCCGUGCAGCACAGCGCUGCCGCGGCAGGGGAUGCGCUGGGGCCGCUACCUGGGGCAGCACAAAAAGCAGAGCUAGAGGCAGAAAGAAGCGAGCAGGAUGCCUCUCCCUCGGCCCCCUGCCUGGAGAUGGGCUUUGGGGUAGAGCAGCCCUCCCAGCCUCGGGGAUCCCUCUCUUUUCUCCCUUCAGGGCUAGGUGAACAGGCAGGAUCCCCUUGUGAGUUUUUUCCCUCGCUAGCAGGAUACAGGAAAGCUUAAGAGGCACUUUAGAAGCCGCAGCCCCACCUGGGCACGGCGGAUUCCUAUUCCCCAUGAAACUCCAGCCCUGGUGUAUUCCUGCCCCCAAGGACCCAGAUCCGGCCCCAUGCAGGGCAGCGCCUGCCUCCUCCAGCAUCGCUACUGCCGUACCCACACCAUUCGGCCACGAGGGAUCUGGUGGGGUCAGCGGGGUAUGGGUAUGGCAUUGGUGUUUGCCAAUUGCCAGAGCCACCUCUGUGCUGGCACUGCUGUGACUGGCACAAAUACUUCUAUUUUCCGAGAGAAACAGUAAGGCCACAGAGCUCCAUCCACUGCAAUAUAAAGAAAAUAAAUCAACUUGAAAAAAUUGAUUUGAGGAAGCUCCCGCUUUGUUUCCUGUUUCUAUUUUUUCUUCUUUUCUCCUAAAAUUCCAGGCAGGAGGGAAGAAGUGGGGCAGAGAGUGGGCACAAAGAGAAACACAGGGAUGAGCUGAUUGCUUCCCAAAGCCAAGAGUUAGCAGGGAUGCUCCUGAGGAACGUGCCUGCUGUUGGCUCAACAUCUGCAGCCAGUUUAUUAGUUUGCUAAUGACGCCUCAGAUUGGACCCGGAGGGAACAGAAAGUCCUGGCAACCUCUUGCAGUAUCAGCCUCACCUUCUGCCCCGUCCCACUGCCACCCUGAAGCAGAGCUGCUGCUUUCAGCCCCCCAUCUCCAGUCUGUAAUUUUGCAGUAGUGCAGAGCAACAGCAAAGGGAGGGAUGUGCUGGAGGACCAGAGCGCCGUAGCAUGGCUCAGUGCUGGAUGGCAAUUGCUGGGGUCCUGCAGGGUGGGAUGAGUGUUCACCCUUAGGAUGGCACGGAUGUGCAUCCCUCAGAAAGCUCCACAAAUUCAUUCAUUCUUCAGCUUUCCCGGAGUGUUUUAACGAUUUAUUUUUUCCUAAAAGGAUCCAUCCCGGAGAAGCAUCUUCUCAAAUAUCCUCGAGGCAGAGAUAGCACUUCUGUCCGCUCCCGAGUCUACUGAAGCGUAACGCAGGUAUUGCACACAAGUACAGACACAAAGAGGCAAUCAGAGAUGGGGAUCUGGGGUUUCAUAGGGGAUGCACACACGGCAGCAGCACGCUCAGCACAGCUCAGAGGUUGGCCCCAUCCGUCCUUGACACUGAUCCCCCGUGCUGUUAUUAAAAUAAAGAAAGGGCAGUGAAGGUGAGUGCAAGUGCACACACCACCGGCUGCUUCCCCACCGUGCAGAGGGCUGCAAAUCAUCUCAGGGUCCCCAAUCUCCUUCAGCGUUGCUGCUGUCGGUGGUGGGGUGGGAAGGGAAAUCCCUGCUGGGCACUAGGGUGGGAAGGGGAAUCACUGCUGGGCACUGCAGUAGCUAUCUGCUUUCUGCUUUCCAGCCAGGCAAGGGAGAGCCUCGAUCUCUGUAUUGCUUGUGCAACGGUGUGAGUUUAAAACCUGUCGGAACAUGGUCCUGCCCCAGCUGUUCUUGCACUGACCGUGCAGGCAGAUGGCUGGCAGCAGCAAAGCUCCGGCUGCAGAAAUCCGUAAGGAUCCCCACCGACCGCUUUUGCAUACAAUCCUGCCGGGGCCGCCUGCCCGCACCGCUCGGCAGCAGAAACCUUCGGGGCGGUUCGGGGCAGGAGACGUCCCUUUGGCAAGCGGGGCAGCGCGGCUCUCCUGCCCGACGUGCCAUUCCCUUGCGCUUUGAUGUCCGCUGCCUUUGAGCCAUCUCUGCAUGUCAUUAGGGGCCCGGACAAUUAAAGAAGUGCCUUCGCACCCCCCCUCUCCCAACCCCUCCCCGCAGCGGAGGGGAAGUCGGAAAAAAAUAAAUACAUCGGCCAACACGGCGAGCCGAUGCGGGGCUGAGUUCGCCUUCGGAUCGCGGCCGUGAGAUGGGAAAGUCGCCCGCAGGGGAGCGGGAGGAGCCGCGACGGUGACAGCGACAGUGACUGCCGGUCCGGCCGCUCGCCGCCGGCUUUGGUGGCGGAUUGGGUGGGGAGUCCUUCUGCCGCCCGGGUACGCGGCUCCGUCCUCGGGGCGGUCGGAUGCCGCUCGGUCUCCCCGAAAGUCAAAUAAUAAAAAAAAAAAAAAUAGAAAUUUAAAAUAAUAAUAAUAAUUAAAAAAUCGAUCUGUGGGAAUGAAGGGCGGAAGCGGAGCUUAACGCGCUGCUCUUUCUGAGGGGCUGGUAGAGGGGAAAUGCGGCUGGGAGGGUUCGGAGGAGGCUGGGGAUGCUCGGGUGUAGAAAUAGGCUAUCUAUCUAUCUACCUGUAUCUAUUAAUAGCGAUACCAUACAAAUAACGAGUAGAGGAAGGUCGCGGAGUGCAGCCCCGCUCCCGCCGGGCUGGGGCUGCCCGUGGCCGGGAGGUGAGCCUCUCCCGGGCCGUUCCCACGCGUGUCCCCUCCCCGCACGGCGACACGAGUUCGGUGGCAGGUCAUUGGCGAGUGCUGUCCCCGAGAGCCCGUCACUGCCGGGCACCCGCUCGGUCGGAAGCAGGGACCUGGCACGGGGACGGGGACACGCGUGCACAACCCGCCCCCGGUCUCCGUGGGCCUCGAGAGACGUCUCCUUCCCGAGUCCCCGCGUGUGCGAUGCCACUCGUGUUCGUGCCCAGCGGCCGAGCCCCGGCCCCGUUAAACGCUCGUUUUCCUCUUUUUCACCGUGUUGCCAACGAGAAAAUGAGGAUGGGGUCUUUUUCCCUCCUGUUCUUGCCCACGCGGGGACGGGGCACUGCCUGUGGUACCGGCAGCGGCGCUUCCCCGUGACACGGACACGGGAGAAAUGCCGCUCGGAGAGAGGAACGAAAAAGCGCCGCGGAGCCGGGGAGGACAACGGAAUAACGCGCAAAAAGAGGGGGGAAACAAAAAAAGGAAAGGAAAACAAACAAACAAACAACAACAAAAUAAAGGAAAGAAAAGCAGGAAGAAGCGCGCGGCUCCUGGGGCAGCGGCGAGGCGCGGCGAGUCGGCUACCGCGCAGCCCCGUUCCUUCUCCGACGGCCCCACAACGACUCGAG